UGGGUUCGACUCUUCACUCUCGCUUCACCACUGCUAUCCUCUUCCUUCCAACAUUGGCUAGCUCCAAGAUCCACAUUUGUUAAGCAAACAAAUGUGAAGAUUAGGACCCCAGGUUUUGGAAAAGGGGAAGAUGGGUCGAGUGGACAGAGCGACACUUGUGAUAGAGAAUAGAGUAGAGUGACUCUUGAGAAGUGGAGGGCGUAGAAGAGUGGCGCUCGGAGGGCAGAGGAUGCUCAGGGAAGAUCAAGAUCAGGACACAAGUAGUGCUAGCUGGGAGGAGUAUUUUGUUCACUCAAGAGAGAAGGGGCGGAGUGCUCGACGAGGGUUCCAUUUGCUUGGGAGAGGGGGUAGAAUGCUCACUUCCUUUUUUUUCUUAUGAUGAGGUGGCCAGAAUGUCCAAAUGGCGGAAAUGAAUUGGCCCAAUGUACCAUUGAGUUGGUAUACUGGGCGUAGGGUAUAAUUUCUCAUGUCUGAGGGGGAGGGCCGACGGCUGCCAAAGUAGAGGAGGAUGUGUGGGAACCUUCCUUGUUGGAUGUGGAUGAGUUAGACCCAUCAUUUUUUGUGGAUGGGUAUGGGUUGGAUCCUUGUUAGACGUAGUGAUGCUCUCAUCAUUUCUUGCCACUCCUUACCCUCCUUUCUUAGCCCCUUCAUUCCAUCCUUUUCUGCCUUCUUCUUCCCUUCAUUUCUUGGCCCCUUCUUCCCCUACUUUCUAGUUUCCUUCUUCCCCUCCUUCCAAGCAUCCUUUCCCUACUUACCCACUGCCUCUGUUCCAUCUUUUUGCACCUCAUUCUUCCCACCAGCCUAUCUGCACUCCUUAACUAAGUCGGUAAUACAACCAUUAUUGUCAUCCUUGCUGGCUUGGUUAUAGGCACCUUGGUCUUCAUACCCACCUUCUCCACACCGAUCUUCUCUGCUAGAUGCCGACUCUAGUGAACAAGGGGUUAGGGCUUGCAAAGCCCUACUCUUUAGACAACUAUUUGCUACCUGCAACCAGAUUUUUG
rnacentral:lncRNA from 1 species